GACGAACGCUGGCGGCGUGCUUAACACAUGCAAGUCGAGCGGUAAGGCCCUUUCGGGGGUACACGAGCGGGCGAAACGGGUGAGUAACACGUGGGUGACCUGCCCUCAGCUCUGGGAUAAGCCUGGGAAACCGGGUCUAAUACCGGAUAUGACUCCAUGACGCAUGUUGUGGGGUGGAAAGCCUUGUGCGGCUGAGGAUGGGCCCGCGGCCUAUCAGCUUGUUGGUGGGGUGAUGGCCUACCAAGGCGACGACGGGUAGCCGGCCUGAGAGGGCGACGGCCACACUGGGACUGAGACACGGCCCAGACUCCUACGGGAGGCAGCAGUGGGGAAUCUUGCGCAAUGGGCGAAAGCCUGACGCAGCGACGCCGCGUGAGGGAUGACGGCCU
rnacentral:rRNA from 1 species